AAUUUAUUUUAUUUAUUUAUUUUUGGCUGUGUUGGGUCUUCGUUGCCUCUUGCAGGCUUUCUUUAGUUGCUGCGAGCGGGGGCUACUCUUCGUUGCGGUGCACAGGCUUCUCAUUGCAGUGGCUUCUCUUGUUGUGGAGCACGGGCUCUGUGCGGGCUGCAGUAGUUGUGGCACGUGGGCUCAGUAGUUGUGGCUCGCGAGCUCUAGCGUGCAGGCUCAGUAGCUGUGGUGCACGGGCUUAAUUGCUCCGCGGCAUGUGGGAUCUUCCCGGACCAGGGCUCAAACCCGUGUCCCCUGCAUUGGCAGGCGGAUUCUUAACCACUGCACCACCAGGGAAGCCCUAUACUUGGUUUGAAUACUCCCUGAAUGUGUAUAUAUUUCUCAUUCUAUAUGUGGAUUCAGGCAUUCUCAAUACAUUAUUUAGUCACAUAGGUGGUUGAGAGUUUCCCUGUAGAAGGGGUUUAAGGGUGACGAUCUGAUUUGGGGGGCCCAAGGCAUUAGAGUCGGUGAAAAUGGAAAAUAAAAAGAUUUCAUUCUCAUUCUUAAAUGAUAGAAUACUUAGGUGUAGAGAAGUAGGAUAAUUGUUUUCCAUCAUUACAUUAAAAGAUGUGAUUCCACUGUGUUCUAGAAAAUCUAUUAUCACUCCAAAUGCCAUUGCUUUGUAGUCAAUCUGUCUUUUUUCUUGAUUUAAGUUUAAGAUGUUCUCUUUAUUGCUGCAAUUCUACAUUUUCAUCACGAUGUUUGUAAGUUUGGAUUCAUUUGGUUUCUUCUAUCUUUAUUAAGAUACAGUACGAUUUUAAGUUGGAAGAUUUAUAUCUUUAAAAAACUUUAAAAAUUGCAGUAUUCUAAACAUAAAGAUAAUUAACUGGACUUUACAGAAACUGAUCUAGGAUUUUUUUUUCUGCAUAUGGUUGGCUAGUUCCUUCCACAAACAAAUAAUAGCAGCUGACACUGAUGGAGCACUUAUUGUACAAUAAGUACCUUGAUGAGAGUUACUGUUAUUCCCCCAUUUUACAAAAUGGAGCACUGAGGCUCAGAUAGGUUCACGGUCACAUGACUAUACAUGGUAGAGGGAGAGUUUGAACGUAGGGCAAUUCGUUUUAGCAACUACUGUUCUUGCCAUACUUCCUCUUGAUAUUAGCCUCAAGUUUUCAAACCUUUAGUGUGCUUCUUUUUCUUUUUUAAAAUUUAUUUUUAUUCCAUUUGGGGAGGGUCUUAGGGGACUAAUAAAUACUAGUUGAAGGGGACAAAAGUCUCCGCUCAUGACCAGGUUCUCCUGUCCUCAGGUUUGAAUGCACUUUCCCAAGCAUGUUUCUGCCCAGCUUUUUCCCACAAACCUUCCUCCUCUACCUCAGAAAGACGCACUCCUGCCCAGGGAACCUCUAGGGUGUACAGGGCCCUGAGCAAAUAUUUUUCAUAAAGCUGUCUAUGAAAACUAUUUGAUUAAGACAAAGAAAUUGCAGUUAAUUUAAAAUUAAUUUUAAAUAAUUUAAAAUCCAUGGGCAUGGGCUCGUGUGACAUAGUGAUUUAUUGUUGGCAAUAUAGAAAAAUAAGGGGAGAAGAGGUACUUAUGGAUUUGUUUAUUGUCCAGUUGGUGCAUGUGAAGACUCUCUGUAGUGUUCUGGCACCAUCUCAUCCUGUUCAGGUCCAGGAAACAUUCUUCAUGUUCUUUAUUGUCAAAUGCACCAUUCCUGGCUAAUUUCAUACUCCUCAUUAUGAGGAAAAGGUAGCAAUGCUGUUAUUGCUCCCAUUGCUGUGGCUGUUUGUAUUGAAACAAUAUAGAUCUGCUCAUUCUCACAGUUCCCUGAUAUCAGCUAUUUAGUGAUGGUGAUAUCACUGCUUAUGAUGCUGCCUCUGCAUCAGGCCACCUGUGAAUACUGGCUUCCAAUGACUCUCUCAAAUGUUGCCUGCUUCGUGGUUGAGGAGUACAAAAACAAAUCUUACCUGGAGUAUACAGGAAAAUGAGAAUGAUAGAUCUCUGGUCUUGUUACCUUUACCAUUUGGAAUUUUUUAACCUGAAGGUAGACCACAUCUUUUUUUCUUAAAUUAAUUAAUUAAUUUUUGGCUGCAUUAGGUCUUCGUUGCUGCGCGUGGGCUUUCUCUAGUUGCAGCGAGUGGGGGCUACUCUUCGUUGCGGUGUGCGGGCUUCUCAUUGCGGUGGCUUCUCUUGUUGCGGGGCACGGGCUCUAGGCGCGCGGGCUUCAGUAGUUGUGGCACGCGGGCUCAGUAGUUGUGGCGCAUGGGCUUCGUUGCUCUGCGCAUGUGGGAUCUUCCCGGACCAGGGCUUGAACCCGUGUCCCCUGCAUUGGCAAGCGGGUUCUUAACCACUGGGCCACCAAGGAAGUCCCUAGACCACAUCUUCUGACCACAUCUUCUCUUGAAAUUUUUAGGCUUUAAUCACUGCCUUCAUAAGAUGUGAUCUCUUUCAACGUAGACACACCUUUGCCUGCAGGGAGGAUGGACGAGGGGCCUGUGAGGGGAGUGAGAAAAGCGAGGCACGUACCUUGUAUGAGGCAUGUCCAUCUGUCCUCUACCGUGGGGGAAGACUGAGCAGGAGACUGCAGUGUCGCCACAUGGAUUAGGAGUGAGGACAUCAAUUAAAGCGCCCCCUGGUGUUGCAGAGCGACAUUCUCAAGAGGCCUCAGGGGAUGUAGGUGAGACCAUCCCCAGAGGGCCGCUGGGUGUGUGGCAUGGAGCCUGGAAGGGCUUGGGAGACCUCCCUGGGCGCCAGCAGCUGGGGACACAUAGGCCUGAAUCCAUAAUGAGGAAAGGAUGUUUCUUCCAGCUGCAGAGGUCUGCCCUGACCUUGGCCUCACAGGGCUCCAUUACUGGAUGGAGGAGCUUUUCUUUCUUGCUUCAACUGGCAAUCUUCCAUUAAAUGUUUGUUCUUUGCUCACCUGAGGGAGGUCUCUUGCCUUGGAUAAGCUCUUUCAAAUCUGGAGGUACCCUCUAGUUUGGGUGUGUUUCAUAGUACAGUAGGUGCUGGAUUCCUAAUUUAACAGAAGAGGAAAUGAAUGUUCUGAGUGACCUGACCAGACCAGAGUCCAUAGCAAGGAUCUAUAUCCUGGGAUCCACACCCUGUAAUCACACAUUGGGACUGUCGACUGAAGAAAAAUGCAAACCUAAAAGUUGCACUGGGAUAGCAUCCUGAGAUCCACACCCGGGAUCACACUUUGUUUUACAGAAUUAAAAACAAUGCUGCACUGAACUUCUUCGUGCCCAAAGUCUUCCCCCUGCUUUGUUCCUAUCUAUCUAUCUAUCAAUCAUCUAUCAUUUAUUUUGGUGGGAGAGAGGAGGAGGUAAAGAAAAAAAAAUUUGGUUUCUACUUCAAAUAACUUUCCCAAAGAGUGGUGAUUCAUUUACAUCAUACAUCCUCAUGGAUGAACACUGUUCUCCUGGUUUUCAUGACAGUUUGAAUUGAAGGUAAUGUGUGUAAUGUUUUUCUGAAGUCCAGUGUAUUCAUUUGGACCUAUGUGGGGUGUUUCUUGUGUUCUUGAUCUCAUAUGAAAGGAGGGGGAAGGGUAAGCUGGGACGAAGUGAGAGAGCGGCAUGGACAUAUAUACACUACCAAAUGUA